rnacentral:lncRNA from 1 species
CUUCCUGUUCCGUUCAUGGCUUCGUCAGAUCGCGUCGUAAUAACAACGAAAUCUAUUUUACUGUAAAAACUGGUUUAUACAGCAACAACAGGUAAGGUAUGUAUAACAUGUAUAUCGUUUGAGGUGAACAUCGGUAACUGGGAACUUUCUGUUGCUGAGAGGUCGAUAUUAAAUCCGGCAUAAUUGGACAAGUGCCCCUCCCCCCUUGGCUUUGUUUCCUCAUAAGUUUAAUUAAAAUGAAUGUUUUGUUAUGUUUAUGUUCCACUAAUAACUUUCAGACGAUGGGGGAUACGAUUAUAACAUAGUUUGGUACUACUGGCGAACAGUGUACCCGGUGCGCGCACUCGCGUACUCGCGCAUCCGCGCCAGCUAGUCGUGACUAGUCGAUCCAUACUUUGUGUUUUUGUGUGUUAUUUACUCUUUACUCUAUUUUUUUUUUCCUCUUUUACUUGUUUCAGUCAUUUUGACUGCGGCCAUGCUGGAGCAUCGCCUUUUAGUCGAGCAAAUCGACCCCAGGACUUAUUCUUUGUAAGCCCAGUACUUAUUCUAUCGGACUCUUUUGCCGAACCGCUAAGUGACGGGGACGUAAACACACCAGCAUCGGUUGUCAAGCAAUGCUAGGGGGACAAACACAAACACACAUACAUAUAUAUAUAUAUAUAUAUAUAUAUAUAUAUAUAUAUAUAUACAUAUAACGAUGGGCUUCUUUCUGUUUCCGGCUACCAAAUCCACUCACAAGGCUUUGGUUGGCCCGAAGCUAUAGUAGAAGACACUUGCCCAAUUUGCCACGCAGUGGGACUGAACCCGGAACCAUGUGGUUGGUAAGCAAGCUACUUACCACACACACACUCCUACGCCUAUUAUAUAUAAUAGUAUUUAUGGAAUUUUGAUUUACUGUAGGGUGACUUAUUGUCCGACUAUUUUGCCUCAUAACAUCCAGUAGAAUGAUUAUCUUUUAAUGAAAGUUUCUAUAAAUACACUUCAGAUGGUGUAGAUUACGAAUAUAUUGGAAUUUGUUGUGAAAAAAAUUUUCCUGUGGGUUGAAAUGAGUUUCGGGAAAUUCACACGAGACGGCUUUUGUUUUCUCUUAACUUUUUUUUUUUUUACUUGUUUCAGUCAUGUGACUGCGGCCAUGCUGGAGCACCGCCUUUAGUCGAGCAAAUCGACCCCAGGACUUAUUCUUUGUAAGCCUAGUACUUAUUAUAUCCACCCUUUUGUCGAACGGCUAAGUUACGGGGACGUAAACACACCAGCAUCGGUUGUCAAGCAAUGUUGGGGGGACAAACGUAGACACACAAACAUAUACACACGUAUACAUAUACACACGUAUACAUAUAUGUAUACGUAUAUAUAUAUAUAUAUAUAUAUAUAUAUAUAUAUAUACAUAUAUAUACAUAUAUACGACGGGCUUCUUUCAGUUUCCGUCUACCAAAUCCACUCACAAGGCUUUGGUCGGCCCGAGGCCAUAGUAGAAGACACUAGCCCAAGGUGUCACGCAGUGGGACUGAACCCAGAACCAUAUGGUUGAUAAACAAGCUACUUACCUCACAGAAAAAUUAGUAUUUUUUUAAUGAAAUUUUCUUCAAAUACUUUUCAGAGUGUGUUAAUUAUGAUUAUAUCAGAAUCUGAUGUGAAAAGAAAAAUGUUGAGCAACGCACACAUACAUUUUGACACAUCACGAUUUUUAUUUCGAAAUUCAAAGUUCCAUAUGCGACGUGUGUCAGUGUGAGUGUGUACGAGCUCACCAUUUCUUUCUUUUUCGUUUUUCACAUCAAAUUCCGAUAUAAUUGUAAUCUACACACUUUAAAAAAUAUUUUAUAAAAUAUUUAAAAAAAAAAAAGCUACCAGGCGCAGGAGUGGCUGUGUGGUAAGUAGCUUGCUAACUAACCACAUGGUUCCACGUUCAGUCCCACUGCGUGGCACCUUGGGCAAGUGUCUUCUACUAUAGCGUCGGGCUGACCAAUGCCUUGUGAGUGGAUUUGGUAGACGGAAACUGAAAGAAGCCCGUCGUAUAUAGGUACAGGAGUGGCUGUGUGGUAAGUAGCUUGCUAACCAACCACAUGGUUCCAGGUUCAGUCCCACUGCAUGGCACCUUGGGCAAGUGUCUUCUACCAUAGCCUCGGGCCGACCAAAGCCUUGUGAGUGGAGCUGGUAGACGGAAACUGAAAGAAGCCCAUCAUAUAUAUGUAUAUAUAUACAUCUAUGUGUGUCUGUGUUUGUCCCCCUAGCAUUGCUUGACAACCGAUGCUGGUGUGUUUACGUCCCCGUUACUUAGCGGUUCGGCAAAAGAGAGCGAUAGAAUAAGUACUGGGCUUACAAAAGAUUAAGUCCCGGGGUCGAGUUGCUCGACGAGAGGCGGUGCUCCAGCAUGGCCGCAGUCAAAUGACUGAAACAAGUAAAAGAGUAGGCAGUGAAAGGUAUGACUUAGCAAGAGAUUUAGGGCUGCUUCAAACUGGAAAAUGCCUCUGGACUAAUGCAUUGCUUCUAAUGGAGAAUACUUUGAAGUUGAUAAAAGUGUAAGCAUGUAAAACUAAUUGAAUAAAAUAAUAUUACAAAAUUCCGGUUUCUUUUGGGUACCCCCUCACACACACACACACGAGAGAGGAAGCCCUCAUAUAUCAUAAUCAUCAUCAUCGUUUAACGUCCGUUUUCCGCGCUAGCACAGGUUGGACGGUUCGACCAGGGGCUGUACCAGGCUCCAGUCUGAUCUGGCAGUGUUUCUACAGCUGCAUGCCCUUCCUAACGCCAACCACUCUGCGAGUGUAGUGGGUGCUUUUUACGUGCCACCGGCACAGGUGCCAGGGGAGUCUGGCAUCGGCCACGAUCGGUUGGUGCUUUUAACAUGCCACCGGCACGGAAGCCAGCCAAGGCGGUGUUGGCAUCGGCCACGUUCGGAUGGUGCUUUUUAUGUGCCACCGGCACAGAAGCCAGUCGAGGUGACACUGGAUAUAUAAAAAAAUAUAUAUAAGAGGAUACUAGAGACCGAGACCUAUGGAAGUAUGCUGUGCAUGAGAAGACCUGGCAGGACAAGUGAGACCAUAACCCGUGGCCUCUACAUGGGAUGUAGCCGGUCCACUUAUGCAUACCUUUCCUUCUUGGAACACAAAACUCUACUUGUGAAGACCUGUUGAGGCAAGUGAGAAUCGAAAUCGAUCAACAUCAAAUGGAAAUUGCAGCUGUGAUACCAGUGCCGUUGGCACGUAAGCGAACCAUCCGAACAUGGCUGUUGCCAGCGCUGCCCCGACAGGCCUCCGUGCCGGUGGCAUGUAAAAAGCACCAUCUGAUCGUGGCCGUUGCCAGCCUCGCCUGGCACGUAAAAAGCACCUACUACACUCACGGAGUGGUUGGCGUUAGGAAGGGCAUCCAGCCGUAGAAACAUUGCCAAAUCAGACUGGGCCUGGUGCAGCCUUCUGGCUUCCCAGACCCCAGUUGCGCCGUCCAACCCAUGCUAGCAUGGAAAGCGGACGCUAAACGAUGAUGAUGAUACAAGAAGGUGCUGAAAACUUCUUGGUUUUGGGUAAAAGAACAUACAAGAGGAUCUGUUACUUACGAUUUUAUUCAACAUAUUCCUCUCUCAGAUACACACAAUUAUUGCAGCGGCCCUUCAGUUUUUCAAAGCCCUGUAAAAGAACUCGGAAGUUUAGGCCUUUUUCAUUAUACCAUUAAAGCCAGGGACUUUCAAUACCCCCUUGUGUGUGUGUGUGCUUCUUUUUGUGUAUAGGUGUUUGUCCCCCACCACCAUGACUACCACCACUUGAUGACUGGUGCUCAUUUGAUUAUGUCGCCAUAACUUAGCAGUUCAUCAAAAGAGGCCAAUAGAAUAAAUACCAGACUUAAAACACAAAAAGCACUGGGCUUGAUUUCUUUGACUAAACCGUUCAAAGCAGUGACCCGAUGAUGGAAAUACAUAAAAGAUAAAAGACUUAUCUUCAAAGAAACCUUGAAUAAGUUCAAUUAUUCCAGUAAAAUGUUUCCAUCUACAGUUUUUCUUUAUUAACCCUUUCGUUACCGUAUUCAUUUUGAGAUGCUCUGUGUUUCUUUCAAUUAAUUUUAAAUAUAACAAAGAAUUUAGUAAAAUAACUUAGUUAUCAUUAAGCUAGUGUUAGAAACAUAAAUUGUGACUAAGGUUUGGUGGAAGAUUUUAAUUCAAAACUUAGGAAAACAAGAGGUUUGUACUAAAGAGCCAGAGGUGGUUUCAGCCGGGUUGGUAACAAAAGGGUUAAGAAUUGUUUCCUUAUUAUAUAUUUUUAAGCCUUUUGUUACCAUAUUUCAGUUGUGAUGCUCUGUGUUUCUUUCAAUUAAUUUUAAAUAUAACAAAGAAUUUAGUAAAAUAACUUAGUUAUCAUUAAGCUAGUAUUAGGAAUAUAAAUUGUGACUAAGGUUUGGUGGAAGAUUUUAAUUCAAAACUUAGGAAAACAAGAGGUUUGUACUAAAGAGCCAGAGGUGGUUUCAGCCGGGUUGGUAACAAAAGGGUUAAGAAUUGUUUCCUUAUUAUAUAUUUUUAAGCCUUUUGUUACCAUAUUUCAGUUGUGAUGCUCUGUGUUUCUUUCAAUUAAUUUUAAAUAUAACAAAGAAUUUAGUAAAAUAACUUCGUUAUCAUUAAGCUAGUGUUAGAAACAUAAAUUGUGACUAAGGUUUGGUGGAAGAUUUUAAUUCAAAACUUAGGAAAACAAGACUUUUAUACUAAAGAGCCAGAGCCGGUUUCAGCCAGGUUGGUAUCAAAAGGGUUAAGAAUUGUUUCUCUAUUAUAUAUUUUUAAGCCUUUUGUUACCAUAUUAUUGUUGAGAUGCUCUGUGUUUCUUUCAAUUAAUUUUAAAUAUAACAAAGAAUUUAGUAAAAUAACUUAGUUAUCAUUCAGCUUGUGUUAGGAAUAUAAAUUGUGACUAAGGUUUGGUGGAAGAUUUUAAUUCAGAACUUAGGAAAACAAGGGGUUUGUACUACAAAGCCAGAGGCGGUUUCAGCCGGGUUGGUAAUGAAAGGGUUAAAAUGUAAAAUUUCAGUUGUUCUACCUCUUUGUCUUUAAGUAUUCUUUGUAUCUUAAUUUCUUAUUUCUCUUAUUUCAGAAUAUCAGAAACAGCAAAGAAUUAUUUCUGACGCAUCACCAAUAUUUAUCAUCUUUGAAAGACAAAAGGAAAAUGUUCCACAGAAUGGAUAUAACCCUGUUUAUAUAAAUCUAUAGUUGAAUUUCUGAUAAGUAUUUCUUCAGAACUGAGAAUGAAUAUCAAUGUUUGUCUUGUUCACUGUCUGAAAACUUUACAAGAUGACUUUGCAUUUUAAUUGAAUCUGGAUUAC